rnacentral:rRNA from 1 species
GGGGGCAACCCCUAGUCGAGCGGCGAACGGGUGAGUAACGCGUGGAUAACCUGCCCUGAGGUGGGGAACAACCGAGGGAAACUUCGGCUAAUACCGCAUAACACCGAGAGGUCAAAGGGGGCUCGCAAGAGCUUCCGCCGCAGGAGGGGUCCGCGUCCGAUUAGCUAGUUGGCGGGGUAAUGGCCUACCAAGGCGACGAUCGGUAGCCGGCCUGAGAGGGUGAUCGGCCACACUGGAACUGAGACACGGUCCAGACUCCUACGGGAGGCAGCAGUGGGGAAUUUUGCGCAAUGGGCUAACGCCUGACGCAGUAACGCCGCGUGGAGGAUGAAGGUCUUUGGAUUGUAAACUCCUGUCAGCAGGGAAAGAGCGACUACGGUUAAUACCCGUGGGAGUUGAUUGUACCUGCAGAGGAAGCCCCGGCUAACUCUGUGCCAGCAGCCGCGGUAAUACAGAGGGGGCAAGCGUUA